GAUAAAUAUGGCGGACUAUAGUCGACGGAUGUUCUCGCGUUUGACAUGAUUCCAGAAUAGCUAUAGUAUUCGUGAUCUGUAAAAGAUUAACAACAAUCGAAUGAAGUAUAGAUAUAAAUGUUGACGAUUGAAAUGUAAGAAAAUCAGUCAUCGAAGUAAAGAUGAUAUAGCGUAGAAAAUAUAGAGUUGGAAUCAGGUCGACGAGAUCUAAUUGAUGGAUUAGACAGGGCUAACUUUCAAUUCGUAUUCCGUUCGCGUGCCUAUACCAGCACGUCCAAUUCGAUGUUAUUAAUUCGUAUGCUGAGGACGAGUUAACGAGUAAAGGCAAUUUAUUCUUCGUCGAUGAAUCACGUCGAAUAGUCGCAUACGUGCUUGUUUAUGUCGAAUUUGCAUCGUCGCACUUGAUUAUUAAUUUUUUUAAGUAACUUAAUGUAUAAUAUAUCGGCAUGCAACGAGCUAGUAAGCAGGGCAAACGAUCGACCGGAUAAGGCAAUGAUUGGCGUUGCAACGGAUCACCAUGAUAGUAGCUGACGUCGGGAAUAAAAUAUACGAAGCCAUGUCUUUUUUGUCAUCAUUACGUAUAUCUUACAACCGUCAACAUCUUGUUUUAAGAUAAAAAUACGCGAACGUUGGAUCGCAAGCAAGAAGAAACAUUCUUUUCCGGAUUUUUUUUCUACAUAGAAGAGAAGAGAAUUCGUUAGCGAGCACAUCGAGGAAUGUGCACGGCGUAUAAGUGAAAACCCAUGACGUGCGCACGCGCUUCUAUCGGCAACUAUAAUAAUUUUCUCAGCGUGAUUCACGAUUUAACUUGUUGACCGUUAAUAGUCGAAGGAAGUAAUAGAGAAUCGUUCUGAAUAUGAUGACGUUAACACGUCAAUGUUUUACGUGCAACAUAUUAUUAAAUAUUACACACAAUAUGAUAAUCCAAUGACUAUUAAUACUAGAGACAAAUUUGUUGAAUAAUAUUUAAGAACUUAUUUUUAUAUAGUUUCGGAGAUUUCUUUUCACGAAUUGACCAACCUUUCUGGUUUUAUUUUUCAUAGACUAACUGUAAUGUUUUCUACUCUCUUUAGGUUCUAACAGGAAGAUAGAAUAAGAAUAAGAAGGAAUUUUGACACGUAUACCUGACCUUGAGCUAUCGAGAACGAGAGAGAGAGAGAAAGAGAGAAGAUGUCUGCAACGUCUUUGUCUCGGUGCUAAUGGAAAUUACAUACCGCAACGAUAUUUCCCUUGCAAAUACGAAGAUUAGUCGAUACUUGUCAAGGACGAGUACUGGAAAUCAUUCUCGCGAUUAUGAACAUUCCAUUUGGUAAAUUAUUCCAAGUCAUUCGGACAACGACACGAUCUUUAUUGUUACGUAUACGAUUGCGCUAUUAACCGUUUUGAUCUACAAUUGGAAUAAUGAAUUAAUAACGAACAACGAUAGCUUGGCAAGGAAAUGAACGAUUUGAAAAAUCCCGCGCUUCGUUUUACCUUGGAGUAACUCGAACGAUAAAAUUAAGUGACAAAACUGAAACGAAUCGUAUCUUGUUCUUUUUUUUCUGGAAAAGAUAAAAAAAAUGUUAAAGAAAGAAGUAAGCAGAAAAUGAACGUCCUCGGGGAAUACCUUCUUUUCACAUAUUCGGUAUUCGCAACGACCUCGUUCUAUAUACUUUUAAGGAAGUUUCAUUGGCGAGAGUGUCCUUUGGAUUAAUUUAUGCACGACUUUAAACAUACAUCGAUUCACGAGGAAAUACAUAACUACAACAACAAAAAUAGAAAGACAUGAACAUCUCCAUACCUUGUAAUCAUUGUAAAAUCUUUAAGGAUCUUGUUAUUCCAAGAAAAAGAAUAAGAAAAUAGAAGGAAAGACAGAGUUCGUGAUUCGCACGAAUGAUUCUUCCCCGUGUCUGGGAGAGAAACGUUGACGGCAUAAAGAAUCGAUUCUUCGGAGUCCAGCGACCCUUUUGCUUCGUCUGCGAAUUGAAAACGUCGUUGACCAUUGAAUGCGUCUGGGAUGCAUCUGUAUAUGCAUUGUAUCUGUGUAUAUUGAUGAGAUGUACAGGGUGUCCCAUUCAACAUCCCAAAAUUAUUGAUGAACUAACAGUCUUUUUCUUUUUAUUAACAGGUAACGAUAUUCGAGUAAUGCAUUUCGUUACUAAUAAUCAUAAAGAAGAGAGAAAAAGAGAGUGAGCGAAAUAAUGAAGUUAAGAGAAGAUAAGAUAAGAAGAAGAAGAUAGUAUCGUAUGGAAUUUACAAGUCGUGUCCACUUCAAGGUUUCUCGAGAUCCUGAACGAAGUCGAGAUGAGCGUAGGUCGUCGCCGAAGAAACGAAAUAAAAAUUCCAUAAGUGUAUAGAGAAGGAGGUGAUGAGGGGGAAGUAAAGUAGGAGGAGUAGGCGCCGUUGGGUAAUCGACCGAUCGAGUUUGACCAGAGUUGAUCGUUGGACGACCUUGGAAAGUAUCGUCUCUCUCGCAGAUACUGUACAAAGAAUUAUCUAAGAAUGUCUCUCCAGACGUCUUGAAAAUACUUGAUAAUAACCAUAAGUAAAAUCUUUCUCGUGUUCGAUUAAUCAUCACGUCAUCAUUGUAAUAAGAUAUUUGAAUCAUCCACAUAAGAUUAUUCAAGGAAUAUAAAUUGUCAUGAUAAUUCUGACAUUAGCAUAUGAAAAUUAUCAUCGACAGGUUAAAAAAGAAAGACAAAAGAAGAAAAAAAAAAAGAAACUUGCAGCUAAUCGUAAAAAAUAGAAACGGAAGGGCUUGUAUUAUUGGUCGACGAGCUUCCGGUGUGAAACCCUCUCUCUACGCAGAGACUAUUCUAAGCAUUUGCCUGGCCUCCUCCGUUACACCUACGCACGUAUUCUAUAAGCGACAGUACUAGGAAAUGGUCGACGUAUACGUGUCCUUGGUAGAAACGAUAAGAAGAAAUCUUUGUUUACAAAUUAGAGUAAACAGUACCGUCAUUGGAAGAAAUUCACCGUUCAUUUACGAAGAAGCGUGGCAUGUAUACAAACGUUAACGCGUAUUAGCUUGCGAGACGCAGAAGAGACACGAGAAGCAAUCGAGUAUAAUCGUUCGUAAACCGUUCCGUUCGCAUUAGGCAAGCUUAAUGACCGUAUAAAAGGGUGCCACGUGGGUGUUCGUUAUCUUCGCUGAGCUGCACCCUUUUCCUCUUCAAAAUUCGUCUCGCUCGUCUUUGUCGCAUACGUCUACUAUACCGGCUGGCCCCGUUUUAGUUUCGUCUUUUUGUGUCUUUCGUUUUAUGUUCCACAUACACUACGAGUGUGCAUAUGUUAUACGUAUGCGUAUAUAUAAUGAUAUACAUACAUGCGUUAUUUUAAGAACAGAAGCUCAUCUAAACGUUUCUUAAGAGUAUUAGAAACUUAACAGUUUAUUUCUAAGUCGACAUGCGUAGAUUAAACAUUUGGAUUAUUAUAAAAAUGAAGCGUUGAUCGGAAGAAUUUAUUUAAAAGAAGAAUGUAACAUUAUUUAAUUGCGUUAUAGCUAUAAUUUCGAACUAUACUUUUAUCUAAGAAAAUUGAAAGCCUUCGAGCGAUUUUUAUAUAUCUAUACAAUGGAUAUGCGUAUAUAUGCGUAUGAAUGUAACAGGUGUAGAGUAUAUAUGUAAGCACGUAAUACAAUAGCUAUAGAUUACACAGGACGGUAGACGUUUACGCAUGAAGCAGAAGCCAGACACGCGAGUAAAACUUGAAGGUGUGUGUCGUGUUUACGAUUUACAUUGAGAUAAAAAGAUAUCGGGUGAACGUUUGUAUCUACGAAAGGGUUAACCCUUUAUCUGUAACAAUAUGGAUUUAUUACAUACACUGUACAAUCAUU